GAAAUAAUUUAUAGAACUUCUAAUUCUAACUAAAAUGUUUAAUCAUUUAUAUUUCU
rnacentral:tRNA from 1 species